rnacentral:rRNA from 1 species
GAUGAACGCUGGCGGCGUGCCUAAUACAUGCAAGUCGAGCGAACAGACGAGGCGCUUGCUCCCCUGACGUUAGCGGCGGACGGGUGAGUAACACGUGGAUAACCCACCUAUAAGACUGGGAUAACCUCGGGAAACCGGAGCUAAUACCGGAGAAUAUACUGAACCGCAUGGUUCAAUAGUGAAAGACGGCUUUGCUGUCACUUAUAGAUGGAUCCGCGCCGCAUUAGCUAGUUGGUAAGGUAACGGCUUACCAAGGCGACGAGGCGUAGCCGACCGGAUAGGCUGGUCGCCCGCCCGAGAGCUGGACCGGGGACAAGGCUACUGAGGGAGGCAGCAGAAGGGAAUGGGCGGCAAUAGGGGGAAACCUGACGGAACGGGGGGAAGUGAGAGAUAGAGAUCUUGGGAUCGUAAAACCCUGUUAUGGGGGAAAAACCACUUUGGAAGUAACUAUAGACGUCGUGACGGUACCUGGUCAGGAAGCCCCGGCUAACUACGUG